ensembl:lncRNA
CAUCUCACAUCUUCUCUCACAGUGGGAGGGAUUAUGCUUCUCAGACUGCACCUAAUGGUUCAGGGAUGUGAGGUUCAGAGAUGAAAGGAACACAAGAAACCUGGCCGUCAGUGAGAACUGAGGUGAAUAAUGCUCAGCUUCCUCUCAUUGAUUCUGGGUGUUACUUCUGUGAUGAUUGCCUCCAGCUCUGUUGGCCAUAUUUCUUAAUAAAGAUACACCAUUUACCUUAGAUUGGACUAAGUCCUACUGAAUAGCAAGAUGUCUUCACCUGAGCUACUCUAAACUGGUCUCAGCAGAAAUCCCCAAGGCAAUCCCUUGAAAUGCCUUUCUACUGGGAACAUUUUGCAGGAGAACCACUUACCACAGGGAAGGUCUGACUCCCACCUCUCAUCCUUGGGGUGACAUGGCUUCUAAUCCACCAGUUACCUGUUGCGGAGUGGCUGCAGGGUACAUCAGUCCGUCAGCAUUCUGGAGUAUCUGUUCUUCUGCAAAAAUACAGCUUUGGCCUCCACUCCAUAAACCUGAGCGGCAUAGGUUAUUCUUGUAUAAGGAACCUUUCCAUUCAUUUACAUCAGUGCAUAGGUUGUUUAAGUUAGCUCAGCUCACCUCUGAUUUAGAUCUUGCUAGAAAGCUGACCUGUUCUUGUUAUUUAUUAUCCUUUCAAUUGUUGUGCUCUCUGCAAAGCUCAACAGCAAUAACUUCAUAUGAUCUUCUGGUUCACUGACUCUUUUUCUUUUCUUGUUAUCAUUUCGGAGGCCUUUAUCAGUUUUCCACUUCUGUGAUUUUUAAGUUUUACGUGUUUAUUGCCUUGUUAAUUAUCCUGGAAAGGGGUGGGGAGAAAAGAGAGAGGAGAAAAAAUAGAAUACAAGUGCAUCUGUUAUUAAUAUGUAAUGGAUACAGAAAUGUCCCAAUUGUUCACCACCAAAUGUUAUCAUUCACAACAGUAACUUCCAAGGCAAUGUGUUACUGAAGUGUGGUGAGUGCAAGAUUCAAAGCACAGAUCUGCUUUCUGUUGCCUUUGACUUUACAUGACUCUGUUCACUCAGAGAUAAUUGCAAACACAGACAUUCAGUGAGUGGAAAAGGAUGCACCAGAAAGAUAUGCAUCUGAUUUUUCUGGGCUGCUAAGGUA